rnacentral:rRNA from 1 species
AAAACAUUGCCUCAUGAAAAUAAAAUAAGAGGUUAUUCCUGCCCAGUGACUUACGAGUUUAACGGCCGCGGUACCCUGACCGUGCUAAGGUAGCGUGAUCAACUGCCCUUUAAUUGUGGGCCUGACGAAUGGAGUUACGAAAAUCUAACUGUCUCUUUUUAAUUAACUAGAAAUUGACCUCUAGGUGAAAAUACCUAGAUAUAUAAAAAAGACAAAAAGACCCCGUAGAGCUUUGUUUAACACAUUAUUGAUUUUUUAUUAUUAUAAAUGCUUAAUUAAAAAUGUAAAAACUUAACUGGGGCGGUUAAGGAAAAGAAAAACUUCCUUUAAUUUUACAGGGGAACCCCCCAUCUUUAAAACUUGACCCUAAUAUUAUAGAUCAAAGAAAUAGCUACCUCGGGGAUAACAGACUAAUUUUUCUUAAGAGUUCGCAUUGACAGAAAAGUUUGGCACAUCGAUGUUGGCUUAGGAGAUCCUAAGGGUUAGUAGCAGCCCUUAAUGGCUGGUUUGUUCAACCAUUAAACUCCUAC